AAUGGGCGCAAGCCUGAUCUAGCCAUGCCGCGUGAGUGAUGAAGGCCUUAGGGUCGUAAAGCUCUUUCGCCUGUGAUGAUAAUGACUGUAUCAGGUAAAGAAACCCCGGCUAACUCCGUGCCAGCAGCCGCGGUAAUACGGAGGGGGUUAGCGUUGUUCGGAAUUACUGGGCGUAAAGCGCGCGUAGGCGGACAUUUAAGUCAGAGGUGAAAUCCCAGGGCUCAACCCUGGAACUGCCUUUGAUACUGGGUGUCUUGAGUUCGAGAGAGGUGAGUGGAAUUCCGAGUGUAGAGGUGAAAUUCGUAGAUAUUCGGAGGAACACCAGUGGCGAAGGCGGCUCACUGGCUCGAUACUGACGCUGAGGUGCGAAAGUGUGGGGAGCAAACAGGAUUAGAUACCCUGGUAGUCCACACCGUAAACGAUGAAUGCCAGUCGUCGGGCAGUAUACUGUUCGGUGACACACCUAACGGAUUAAGCAUUCCGCCUGGGGAGUACGGUCGC
rnacentral:rRNA from 1 species